rnacentral:rRNA from 1 species
GACGAACGCUGGCGGCGUGCCUAAUACAUGCAAGUCGAGCGCUUAUACCAUGAGGUGUCCCUUCUGACGUUAGCGGCGGACGGGUGAGGAACAGGGAGAAAAACGACGGUAAACAAUCCGAUAGAGUCGGGAAACCGGAGGUAAUACGUGAUAAUAUAGUAAAACAGAUUAUUCAAUAUGGAAAAACAGUUUAACUCGCACUUGGGUGUCGAUGCGCGCGGCAUUAGCGAGUUGGUAAGGUAACGGCGUACCAAGGCAACGAUGCGUAGCCGACCUGAGAGGGUGAUCGGCCACACUGGAACUGAGACACGGUCCAGACUCCUACGGGAGGCAGCAGUAGGGAAUCUUCCGCAAUGGGCGAAAGCCUGACGGAGCAACGCCGCGUGAGUGAUGAAGGUCUUCGGAUCGUAAAACUCUGUUAUUAGGGAAGAACAAAUAUGUAAGUAACUAAGCACCCCCUGACGGUACCUAACCAGAAAGCCACGGCUAACUACGUG